rnacentral:lncRNA from 1 species
GUCUCUUUUUCUAAUACUAUAAGCAAUAGGUCAACAAUAUUUGGUGUAUGGAUUAAUGAUUGUAAGGUGUACAUAUCUGACUGGCAGGUGUCAUUUGUCCUUGACCUCAUUUUCAUGGUUCAUUGGUCAAUGUUGAGUUUUUGUGUUUUGGUCUGUUUUUCUAAUAUCAUAAGCAAUAGGUCAACUAUUUUUGGUGUAUGGAAUGAUUGCAAGGUGUACAUGUCUGUCUGGCAGGUGUCAUUACUUGACCUCAUUUUCAUGGUUCAUCGGUCAAUGUUAAGUUUUCAUGGUUUGGUCUUUUUCUUGUAUACUAUAAGCAGUAGGUCAACUAUGUUUGGUGUAUGGAAUGAUUGUAAGAUGUACAUGUCUGUCUGGCAGGGUUCAUCUGACCUUGACCUCAUUUUCAUGGUUCAUUGGUCAAUGUUUAGUUAUCCUGUUUAAGUCUGCUUCUUAGAUACUAUAAGCAAUAAGGUCAACUUUAUUUGAUGCAUGGAAUGAUUGUAGGGUGUACAUGUCUGUCUGGCUUGGUUUAUAUGACCUUGACCUCAUUUUCAUGGAUCAUUAAUAAUUUUAAGUUUAUGUGAUACUUGUAGUGAAACUUUAUCUUUAAGGCUAUCAACAUAAAACCAAUCAUGGUUAGUAAAGCAGGC